rnacentral:rRNA from 1 species
CCGCCAGACUCCUACGGGAGGCAGCAGUGGGGAAUAUUGCACAAUGGGGGAAACCCUGAUGCAGCGACGCCGCGUGGGUGACGAAGUAUUUCGGUAUGUAAAGCCCUAUCAGCAGGGAAGAAGAUGACAGUACCUGGCUAAGAAGCCCCGGCUAACUACGUGCCAGCAGCCGCGGUAAUACGUGGGGGGCAAGCGUUAUCCGGAUUUACUGGGUGUAAAGGGAGCGUAGACGGCAGUGCAAGUCUGAAGUGAAAGCCCCGGGCUUAACCCGGGAAUUGCUUUGGAAACUGUACGGCUGGAGUGCUGGAGAGGUAAGCGGAAUUCCUAGUGUAGCGGUGAAAUGCGUAGAUAUUAGGAGGAACACCAGUGGCGAAGGCGGCUUACUGGACAGUAACUGACGUUGAGGCUCGAAAGCGUGGGGAGCAAACAGGAUUAGAUACCCUUGUA